GAUGAACGCUGGCGGCGUGCCUAAUACAUGCAAGUCGAGCGAACAGAUGAGGAGCUUGCUCCUCUGACGUUAGCGGCGGACGGGUGAGUAACACGUGGAUAGCCUACCUAUAAGACUGGGAUAACUUCGGGAAACCGGAGCUAAUACCGGAUAAUAUAUUGAACCGCAUGGUUCAAUAGUGAAAGACGGUUUUGCUGUCACUUAUAGAUGGAUCCGCGCCGCAUUAGCUAGUUGGUAAGGUAACGGCUUACCAAGGCAACGAUGCGUAGCCGACCUGAGAGGGUGAUCGGCCACACUGGAACUGAGACACGGUCCAGACUCCUACGGGAGGCAGCAGUAGGGAAUCUUCCGCAAUGGGCGAAAGCCUGACGGAGCAACACCGCGUGAGUGAUGAAGGUCUUCGGAUCGUAAAACUCUGUUAUUAGGGAAGAACAAAUGUGUAAGUAACUAUGCACGUCUUGACGGUACCUAAUCAGAAAGCCACGGCUAACUACGUG
rnacentral:rRNA from 1 species